rnacentral:lncRNA from 1 species
GUGUGCAGAUGGUAACAAGGAAACAGCCAGCCACAAUCAUCCAGCCCCAGCCUCCAUCUGGAGGGGAGGUAGACCGAGCUCUAUUUACUUUUGCCAUGGUUUUUCUUUUUUCUUCUUUUCCAGGUUGCUCCAACAGCCAAGUUAUGAUCUUGGAAGAGUUUGCUGUCCAGUGACUUCCUGAUGGCAUUCAAGGUUGGCAUAGAACGCUACCUGGCCCAUGGGUUACUCGCCAUCUAAAACCAAAAAUCAGGACAUAUUUAUAUCUUAUUGCUAUGUCCAAAGGUUGAUUUUUCUUCACUUGGUGAGCAUCUUCUGUUUGGCAUUUCCACAUGUAAUAAGUUAAGAACUGAUUU